AAUGUCAAGUACUUUCUAAUUAACUGUCAGUUAUAUUUCAAUUUGUACGACUCUAGAUAUCUUUGGAUGAGUGUGCUAAGUCACCUGCUCUUAAAACUUUAGUUCAAAUAAUGUUUUCUUCAAUACUGGACGUUAGCUUCUAUUUCACGCAAUCUGUCAAAUUUCAGUGACAUACUUCCACUGCUAUAUAAUUCUUUCCUUGAAAUCCACUUGCAAUCAUCUACAAAUUGCUGAAGUCUCUUAAGGACGAGUGCACUCUUUUAAAUUAAUUUACUUGCUGUUGACAGUUCACCAAGAAAUUAUAUACAUUUACCUAAAUAAUCAAUAAAUCUCAGGAAGCGCCCACAUCCGAUGCAGAGUGUCGAGCCACGCUUUCGUGGCAUCGUCUAUAGACGAGAAGAACAAUAAAUCCAUGUCGACGUCCCGAUGACGAAGCUUACUUUGACAGGUCGUGUGAUUUUAUUUCUCGGCCACUGGUCGUAUUCAGAGCUCGUUCUGGUCAGGAAUAUCGCGCGGCUGUCGCGUUUUAAAUGACCCAGAGAAUCGACGUCAACGAGAACGAAAAUUCGGCGCGGAUCCUCCUCGUGAUGCGAGAAACAAUGGAAGAACAGCAACGUAAUCGCAUUCGCCGUAACGUCACAAUUCACAAUAGCACCAACGAGAAAAAAAAAACGUUGACAAAAAUUGACCGGGACUUUACCUAGAGCUCGUAUCGUCUGAAGUUUGCGCCACUUCACGCGUCGCGACAGUCACGAAUUACGAGACGAAAUAGAUCGCGGACUCGUCUUGUGACGUCAUAAUCUCUAUAUUGUGCGCGCAUUUAUUAGGAUAAAAAAGAAAAAGGGAAAUUUAGAAAAAAUAAUUAUGAUUUAUU